CAGCAGCCACGGUAAUACGAAGGGUGCAAGCGUUAAUCGGAAUUACUUGGCGUAAAGCGUGCGCAGGCGGUUAUAUAAGUCAGAUGUGAAAUCCCCGGGCUCAACCUGGGAACUGCAUUUGAGACUGUAUGGCUAGAGUGUGUCAGAGGGGGGUAGAAUUCCACGUGUAGCAGUGAAAUGCGUAGAUAUGUGGAGGAAUACCGAUGGCGAAGGCAGCCCCCUGGGAUAACACUGACGCUCAUGCACGAAAGCGUGGGGAGCAAACAGGAUUAGAUACCCCUGUAGUCCCUGUCUCUUAUAC
rnacentral:rRNA from 1 species